rnacentral:lncRNA from 1 species
UGUCUUCACUGGCACUGGGAUGAAAAUAGGAAUUUUGACAAUGAUGCUAAAAAAAAAUAUGUAACAUUUCAACAGGUACUAAUAAAACAAUUUUUAGAACAAUUUACAUUAUCCUGAACAGAAUUAUUAAAUAUAAUGAAAAGGAAAGGUGAAAGUAAACAAACAGAUCUGUUAACCUUCUAUUUGUUCAUAUAUUAAAACAAUCCUCAACAGCUGUUUACCCAAAUUAAAUUAAACUAUUAAAAUCACGUGAAUAAAAAAAAAAUUUUGGAUCCAUGUGCAUGAGUGCUCCUCAUAUAUGAUAUAUGGACAUACGCACAUACAGACAUACAACACAAAACAGAAGUGUGCACACGUAACAUAUAACACAUAAGACAAUAGUAAAGGCCUUGUAGCUUUACCUAGGUGAAAUCUCCANAGCAGAGGAAUCUAUCAAUAUGUCCAUAUCCUCCCAAAAUAAAGCAUACAAGUGAUACAUAGUCCAGGCAAGUUUUGUAAGCAGUUCAAAGCAGAGGAAUCUAUCAAUAUGUCCAUAUCCUUCCAAAAUAAAUCGACUCAUUGAUUGAGCAUUACUUGUUGAGUUAUAAAUCAUUGAUGUAUCAGUUUACACGGUUUGUUGUGAUAACUCUCGAAGAAGUUGUAGUUUGGUUUUAUCUUUGUCUUCACCGGCACUGGGAUGAAAAUAGGAAUUUUGACAAUGAUGCUAAAAAAAAUAUGUAACAUUUCAACAGGUACUAAGAAAACAAUAUUUAGAACAAUUUACAUUAUCCUGAACAGAAUUAUUAAAUAUAAUGAAAAGGAAAGGUGAAAGUAAACAAACAGAUCUGUUAACCUUCUAUUUGUUCAUAUAUUAAAACAAUCCUCAACAGCUGUUUACCCAAAUUAAAUUAAACUAUUAAAAUCACGUGAAUAAUAAAAAAAAAUUUUUUUUUUUUGGAUCCAUGUGCAUGAGCGCUCCUCAUAUGUGAUAUAUGGACAUACGCACAUACAGACAUACAACACAAAACACAAGUGUGCACACGUAACAUAUAACACAUAAGACAAUAGUAAAGGCCUUGUAGCUUUACCUAGGUGAAAUCUCCAUUGCAAUGUUCAAAAACUCCACAGUCAAAAAAUAAAACUGAUCAGAAAAAACAUUAACCUAGGUCUGUAUGAGCUCAAAAAUAAAAUAGAACUUUAUGAUGUGGGAAAAAGCAAUAAUAAAAUAGAUAUUGAAAAAAGCAUCCUGGUUAAUCACUGUCGCAGAUGUAAGAAUAGCCAAGCUGGAGAUCUGGAUAUCAGCUGUUAUGGAUUUCAGUUGAAUCAUUUUCCUUUUGGUCUGUAGAAAUUGUUU